AUUGAACGCUGGCGGCAGGCCUAACACAUGCAAGUCGAACGGUAACAGGAAGCAGCUUGCUGCUUUGCUGACGAGUGGCGGACGGGUGAGUAAUGUCUGGGAAACUGCCCGAUGGAGGGGGAUAACUACUGGAAACGGUAGCUAAUACCGCAUAACGUCGCAAGACCAAAGAGGGGGACCUUAGGGCCUCUUGCCAUCGGAUUUGCCCAGAUGGGAUUAGCUAGUAGGUGGGGUAACGGCUCACCUAGGCGACGAUCCCUAGCUGGUCUGAGAGGAUGACCAGCCACACUGGAACUGAGACACGGUCCAGACUCCUACGGGAGGCAGCAGUGGGGAAUAUUGCACAAUGGGCGCAAGCCUGAUGCAGCCAUGCCGCGUGUAUGAAGAAGGCCUUCGGGUUGUAAAGUACUUUCAGCGGGGAGGAAGGGAGUAAAGUUAAUACCUUUGCUCAUUGACGUUACCCGCAGAAGAAGCACCGGCUAACUACGUG
rnacentral:rRNA from 1 species